rnacentral:rRNA from 1 species
AUUGAACGCUGGCGGCACGCCUAACACAUGCAGGUCGAGCGGCAGCGCGAUAUGUAGCAAUACAUAUCGGCGGCGAGCGGCGGACGGGUGAGGAACACGUAGGAACCUACCCUCGAGUGGGGGAUAACCAAGGGAAACUUUGGCUAAUACCGCAUGAUUUCGAGAGAGCAAAGCUGCCGCAAGGUGGCGCUCGAGGAGGGGCCUGCGUCCGAUUAGCUAGUUGGUGAGGUAAGAGCUCACCAAGGCGGUGAUCGGUAACUGGUCUGAGAGGACGACCAGUCACACUGGGACUGAGACACGGCCCAGACUCCUACGGGAGGCAGCAGUGGGGAAUAUUGGACAAUGGGGGCAACCCUGAUCCAGCGAGGCCGCGUGAGUGAAGAAGGCCUUCGGGUCGUAAAGCUCUUUAGGUUGGGAAGAAGAGUGAUGGAGGAAAUGCUAUCACUUUGACGGUACCGACAGAAUAAGCACCGGCAAACUCUGUGCCAGCCGCCGCGGUAAGAC